GGGGCUGACCUGGUUUCGACGGGAUUUGGUAGCUUUUAACUGCAUGUCGGACUGAGCACUUCCGUUACGCGGCUCAUCUGCGAAUAAACGCAAACAAUACAAAUUAUCGCCCAGCUUUAGCAGUAGCUUAAGUUUUUAACCCCUCGCAAGAGGCGGGCUGCUUCACCUGUUGACUCUAGAUAGGCAGGAUUCGAAGUAUAACCCUUAUGUAGAUAUAUCUUGGGUCUGUCUCAGCUCAAGAAGAACCUCCGAGGCUCGUCUUGUGUAGCUUUGCAAGUUGUGUGAAGCAGGAUUAAAUUAAACAACUUCUCUAAGCAUGUAGACGUUAGGAGUAGCUGAGUUUCGGACUGCGGUUCGAUUCCGCACAGCUCCACCA
rnacentral:tmRNA from 1 species